rnacentral:rRNA from 1 species
UACGUAGGGUGCAAGCGUUGUCCGGAAUUAUUGGGCGUAAAGAGCUCGUAGGCGGUCUGUCGCGUCGAAUGUGAAAACCCGGGGCUCAACCCCGGGCCUGCAGUCGAUACGGGCGGACUGGAGUACUGCAGGGGAGACUGGAAUUCCUGGUGUAGCGGUGGAAUGCGCAGAUAUCAGGAGGAACACCAAUAGCGAAGGCAGCUCGCUGGGACGUUACUGACACUGAGGCGCGAAAGCGUGGGGAGCGAACAGG